rnacentral:rRNA from 1 species
UGGUGGAGUGAUCUGUCUGGUUAAUUCCGUUAACGAACGAGACCUCAGCCUACUAACUAGUUGCUCCUCGGUUUUCCGAGCGAGUAUGACUUCUUAGAGGGACUUUCGGUGUGUAGCCGAAGGAAGUUUGAGGCAAUAACA